UACGUAGGGACCAAGCGUUGUCCGGAAUCAUUGGGCGUAAAGCGCGCGUAGGCGGCCCGGUAAGUCCGUUGUAAAAGUCGAAGGCUCAACCUUCGAAAGCCGAUGGAUACUGCCGGGCUAGAGUACGGAAGAGGCGAGUAGAAUUCCUGGUGUAGCGGUGGAAUGCGCAGAUAUCAGGAGGAAUACCCAUAGCGAAGGCAGCUCGCUGGGACGUUACUGACGCUGAGGCGCGAAAGCGUGGGGAGCGAACAGG
rnacentral:rRNA from 2 species